rnacentral:rRNA from 1 species
CGCAUCUGUGCAUGCAGCAUAUCAAUAAGCGGAGGAAAAGAAACUAACAAGGAUUCCCCUAGUAACGGCGAGUGAAGCGGGAAGAGCUCAAAUUUGAAAUCUUAAAGGGUUUCCCUUUACGAAUUGUAGUUUAAAGAAGUGUUUUCUGUUGAGGUUUUGGUAAAAGUUCUUUGGAAUAGGACAUCAUAGAGGGUGAGAAUCCCGUAUUUGACCUUUACUUUCAACUUUGUGAUACACUUUCAAAGAGUCGGAUUGUUUGGGAAUGCAGUCCAAAAUGGGUGGUAAAUUUCAUCUAAAGCUAAAUAUUGGCGAGAGACCGAUAGCGAACAAGUACCGUGAGGGAAAGAUGAAAAGAACUUUGAAAAGAGAGUUAAACAGUACGUGAAAUUGUCAAAAGGGAAGCGUUUGACACCAGUGUUGUUUUUCUGAAAAUCAAUUAAAGAACUGUUUAUGCUAAGUUGUUUAGACCUUAUCAGCUAACUGUUUAGUUUUGAGCUUUUCUUUAAUGCACUUUUCAGUUAACAAGUCAACAUCAAUUUCUUUUGCUGUAAAAAAGCUUGAGGAAGGUGGCUUGAGAUUCGUCUUAAGUGUUUAUAGCCUCUUGCCUAUGCAGUCGGAGAGAUUGAGGUCUGCAGCGUAGAUCCUUCGGGGCUAAAUGCAUUUGUGCUAAGUUAUAGCAUUUUAUAGACAACUUGUUGACUAUGAUUUGUCUUGUAGCUUACUCGCUUAUGUUAUUUUACCUACGCUUAGGAUGUUGAAGAUGUAGGCACAUCAU